CGCCCGCCGCGCGCGGCGGGCUACGGGAGGCAGCAGUGGGGAAUAUUGCACAAUGGGCGCAAGCCUGAUGCAGCCAUGCCGCGUGUAUGAAGAAGGCCUCCGGGUUGUAAAGUACUUUCAGCGGGGAGGAAGGCGAUAAGGUUAAUAACCUUGUCGAUUGACGUUACCCGCAGAAGAAGCACCGGCUAACUCCGUGCCAGCAGCCGCGGUAAUA
rnacentral:rRNA from 1 species